rnacentral:rRNA from 1 species
CCUACGGGUGGCAGCAGUGGGGAAUAUUGCACAAUGGGGGAAACCCUGAUGCAGCAACGCCGCGUGAGUGAGGAAGUAUUUCGGUAUGUAAAGCUCUAUCAGUAGGGAAUAGAAAAGAAGGUACCUGAAAAAGAAGCCCCGGCUAACUACGUGCCAGCCGCCGCGGUACUACGUAGGGGGCAAGCGUUAUCCGGAGUUACUGGGUGUAAAGGGGGCGCAGACGGCGAUGCAAGCCAGGAGUGAAAGCCCGGGGCCCAACCCCGGGACUGCUCUUGGAACUGCGUGGCUGGAGUGCAGGAGGGGCAGGCGGAAUUGCUGGUGUAGCGGUGAAAUGCGUAGAUAUCAGGAGGAACACCGGUGGCGAAGGCGGCCUGCUGGACUGCAACUGACGUUGAGGCCCGAAAGCGUGGGGAGCAAACAGGAUUAGAUACCCGAGUAGUC